AUGAGCAGCGCGAAGGCGAUGAGGCCCAGCAUCGCCGCCAGCCCGCCGAAGAGGUACGGCACGGGCGACUGCCACGCCGAGUGCAGCGCCUGCGUCGCCGUCGGCGCCCCCGCGAGGUGGCUCACGGCGAAGAACUCUGCUCCGGGCCUCAUGGCUGUGCUGGUGUGGAGGCGUAGCAGAGGAGCUGCACGAUCAGUUUGCUUCCGCUGUCUGUUUCUCUUGUGUUGUGGGAGGGUUGAGAGGGAAAUGGGAUGUAUUUAUAGGAGAGGUGGAGGAGAAAGAUUUACAAAACACCACAGUAUUCUCCAUUUAUUUAUUUAG
rnacentral:rRNA from 1 species